UGGUUCUGGCAUCGAUGAAGAACGCAGCGAAAUGCGAUAAGUAAUGUGAAUUGCAGAAUUCAGUGAAUCAUCGAAUCUUUGAACGCACAUUGCGCCCCUUGGUAUUCCGGGGGGCAUGCCUGUUCGAGCGUCAUUACACCACUCAAGCCUGGCUUGGUAUUGGGCGCCGCGCCCGUCGCGCGCCCUAAUGUCGCCGGCCGAGUCGUCUGUCUCCGAGCGUUGUGAAUCUCAUUCGCUCCUGGGGAUCCAGACGGCGCGCGCCGUUAAACCUCUUUUUACAGGUUGACCUCGGAUCAGGUAGGGAUACCCGCUGA
rnacentral:misc_RNA from 1 species